rnacentral:misc_RNA from 1 species
GAUGAAGAACGUAGCGAAAUGCGAUAAGUAGUGUGAAUUGCAGAAUUCAGUGAAUCAUCGAAUCUUUGAACGCACAUUGCGCCCCUUGGUAUUCCAUGGGGCAUGCCUGUUCGAGCGUCAUUUGUACCUUCAAGCUUUGCUUGGUGUUGGGUGUUUGUCUCGCCUUUGCGUGUAGACUCGCCUUAAAAUAAUUGGCAGCCGGCGUAUUGAUUUCGGAGCGCAGUACAUCUCGCGCUUUGCACUCAUAACGAUAGCGUCCAAAAGUACAUUUUACACUCUUGACCUCGGAUCAGGUAGGGAUACCCGCUGAACUUAAGCAUAUCAAUAAGCGGAGGA